rnacentral:tRNA from 1 species
GCUCCGGUAGUAUAGUCCGGUCAAGUAUACGGGCCUCUCGAGCCCGGGACCCGGGUUCAAAUCCCGGCCGGAGCACCA